CCUACGGGAGGCAGCAGUGAGGAAUAUUGGUCAAUGGCCGGAAGGCUGAACCAGCCAAGUCGCGUGAGGGACGACUGCCCUAUGGGUUGUAAACCUCUUUUAUAAGGGAAGAAUAAAUGCUACGUGUAGCAUGAUGACUGUACCUUAUGAAUAAGCAUCGGCUAACUCCGUGCCAGCAGCCGCGGUAAUACGGAGGAUGCGAGCGUUAUCCGGAUUUAUUGGGUUUAAAGGGUGCGUAGGUUGUUUUAUAAGUUAGCUGUGAAAUAAUGAGGCUCAACACCGGGUCUGCCGUUGAUACUGUAGAACUAGAGAACGGACGAGGCAGGCGGAAUGUGUAGUGUAGCGGUGAAAUGCAUAGAUAUUACACAGAACACCGAUUGCGAAGGCAGCUUGCUAGGCCGGAUCUGACACUGAUGCACGAAAGCGUGGGGAUCGAACAGGAUUAGAUACCCGAGUAGUC
rnacentral:rRNA from 1 species